ACAGGUGUUGCAUGGCUGUCGUCAGCUCGUGUCGUGAGAUGUUCGGUUAAGUCCGCUAACGAGCGCAACCCUCGUCGUAUGUUAUAUGUGUCAUACGAGACUGCCCGGGUAAAAAAGCCGGAGGAAGGUGAGGAUGAUGUCAAGUCAGCAUGACCUUUAUAUCCAGGGCUACACACACGCUACAAUGGUCUGUACAAUGGGUAGCCAAGCCGCGAGGCGGAGCCAAUCCUGAAAGCAGGCCUCAGUUCAGAUUGCAGUCUGCAACUCGACUGCAUGAAGCCGGAGUUGCUAGUAACCGCAGGUCAGCAAUACUGCGGUGAAUACGUUCCCGGGUCUU
rnacentral:rRNA from 1 species